UUAAGAACAGAGAUACUAAUGCGGUGGGUGUCCAGCCUGUUUCACUUUCCUAUGUGCCUAUGUGUGUGGUGUUAUUUACUAACAAGGAAAGACUGAUUACCAUGAAGGCCACGAUAACACCUCUAGCAAAGGAAUAUCCACCAUAAUUCAUGUGCUGCGAAGCAGAUUACACACACUUGCAGGCACGGUUUUAAACUUGGCGGCUCAUACUUAACGAUCCUGUAAUGGGAAAAGAAACGCGUCUUGUUUUUUCUCGCCGGUGUUAACGAGCAUUAUUACCGUCAUACGAGCGCUCGGCAGAGCAGUGCAUAGUAAAUCCUUAAUUAUGUUUUAUUUGUAAACACUUCGGGCCUGGCACUAAAUCCACUGCAUAACACGAUUUCACUACGCUAUUGUAAUCCAAGAGGAGCAUUAGCGCGCUUUCAACUCCUGAUCACAGCUGGGGUGCGAUUCACGGAGCGGCCUGCCGAAGACAGUAGUUACAAGUUCCCAAGCUGGUUGGAGAAAGCCAACGUUCAGCAUGUCACCUGAGAGUUUGGGGGGUGUCUGCCAGCUCUCUGACCUUUCAACACAGUGCUGGAGAUCCUGCUUCCUUUAUGCUCCCUGUGAGACUUUCCAUAAAGAAGUCACUAUACUGUACUUCUCUCUCAGCACUGAGCAGAGAGGCGAUAAGAUAAGUGAAUACAUAUUUACAGUGUGAGCCUCACCUUGGGUCUUUCAGUGUCAACAAACCGAAAGAGUAACCAUGCCAAAGGGAAAUAAAGCUAUUGGUAUGUCAAAAUGAUGGCUGUGGAGCUCUUUCUCAGCCAUCCUCUUGUUCGUAAGAAAGAUGAUUUACUGUGUUCGCAGCCCUGGGGAGCCUGUUGCAUUUCGACAAGCUUUAAUCUCAUGGUGUGAUAGAUGGCGGUACAUUGCAGGUGGACAGGGCAGGCUGACUCCCGAGGCUUGUCCUAGUGCAGGUCUGUGUGUGUUCACAGG